rnacentral:tRNA from 1 species
GAGGGUAUAGCUCAAGUGGUAGAGUGCGUGCUUAGCAUGCAUGAGGUCCUGGGUUCAAUCCCCAGUACCUUCU